rnacentral:tRNA from 1 species
GGUCCUAUAGUCUAAUGGUCAGGACGUUGGAUUGUAUGUUCUCAACCACUCAAAAGCCCACCCGUGGAUCCCUUGACUAACCUCCAACAGUUGAUUAUCAAACAAGAUCCCCUUCCAAAGGCCCCAGUUCGAACCUGGGUAGGACCU